rnacentral:rRNA from 1 species
AGUGAACGCUGGCGGUAGGCCUAACACAUGCAAGUCGAACGGCAGCACUGUAAGAGCUUGCUCUUACGGGUGGCGAGUGGCGGACGGGUGAGGAAUACAUCGGAAUCUACUUUUUCGUGGGGGGUAACGUAGGGAAACUUACGCUAAUACCGCAUACGACCUACGGGUGAAAGCAGGGGAUCUUCGGACCUUGCGCGAUUGAAUGAGCCGAUGUCGGAUUAGCUAGUUGGCGGGGUAAAGGCCCACCAAGGCGACGAUCCGUAGCUGGUCUGAGAGGAUGAUCAGCCACACUGGAACUGAGACACGGUCCAGACUCCUACGGGAGGCAGCAGUGGGGAAUAUUGGACAAUGGGCGCAAGCCUGAUCCAGCCAUACCGCGUGGGUGAAGAAGGCCUUCGGGUUGUAAAGCCCUUUUGUUGGGAAAGAAAAGCAGCAGGUUAAUACCCCGCUGUUCUGACGGUACCAAAAGAAUAAGCACCGGCUAACUUCGUG